rnacentral:tRNA from 1 species
UCGCCGUGACCUAGUGGAAAAGGCGUCCGCCUAGGGAACGGAAGGUCGAAGGUUCGAGCCCCAUGGUGAG